CACAUGCUCUUCUGACUUGAGCCAGCCAAGAGCGCCGGGAAUAAACUUUGCUUCUGACUUCACGUUGUAAUUUCAUAUGUCAGUAGAGAUUUCUGACUAAGAAGAGUUGCUUUUAGGUAUGUUUUCGAGUGGCUACCUUGACUGAUGUGGAAGAGAGUAAAACUAAAAUUUGUCCUGAGUUUUCUACUUUCAAUUUAGUAGAUCAGUUAUGGUCUAGGAAUAAAAUUACAAACAUUAUAUUCAUACUUGACUAAGUUGAAUUUUAAUACUAGACUGGGUUAAAGUGAUAAAAACUCCCAGAGGCAACUGGAUCCAGGGUGGCUGUGGCUGUCUCUGAGGGGACCACGUCACCAACUAAAUCUCGUGACUUAAUAUGAAGUCAGUAGGAAGUUGGCACGGAGGCUUCCCUUUGAUUUAAAAUACAGGGACCUGUAAUUUCACGCCUCGUGAUCCAAAAACAACCUGUGCUCACAGCCACUUGGGGGUCACUUUUUCCCUGUUUUUCUUCUUCCCUGGACAGUUUUCCCAUUAGAUUCUUGUUCAGCUCUCUCUGCAUCGUUGUGCCAGUGUGCUUUCAAGAGCGCGGGGUUUGGUCCCGGCCUCGUCUCUGCCUUCUCUCUCCUGUGUGUCUUUUAUUAUCUGUCUUCAGAGCCUGAGCCUCGGCCGCAACUGAACGCUGUCUCUCUUGAGUUAAAUGGCAUUGAGUGGCCAGACUCUGAAGCGUGUAACGCUCACGCCAAAGGUAGAUGUUUUUAGGGUAUAUGACAGAUCUAUAAGUACAUUUUUGAAAUAGAAAACAUUUGUCGGUUAUCAGUUUUUCGAUGCGUCUUCCAUAGGUAAAUUAACCGACUUUUCUUUUUUCUUUUCUUCCUUCUGUCAGGUCUUUUCUUGCUUACGAUUACCAGACCGUUGACACUCACUUGAACUAUCUGUGCAUCGUAACUGACGGUAUAAAAUAUUGACAUAGGUAGUCAGGUUAUCCAUAUGCUGAUACUUUUCCAAAAGUCUGCUGUGUGUAAUCUUGUUUGCAAGAGCAAAGCACCAUUCUGACUUGAAGGAUUUUUUUCGUAAUGCGUUCUUUCUUUCUUUUGAGAGGGAAAGAGUCCGUGCACGCGUGCACAAGUGGGAGAGGGGAAGGGAGAGAGAGAAAGAGAGAGAAGGAAUCCCAAGGAGGCUUUGCGCUGUCAGAGGACUCUGUUUUCAGGGCUCUAUUUCAUGAACCGCGAGAUCAUGACCUGAGCCGAAAUCAAGAGUCAGACGCUUAACCAACUGAGUCACCCAAGUGCCCCAGGAUUUUUUUUAACUUCAGUUAUUAUCGACCAGUUUAUUUCCUUCUAGGAAGUCUGUGCAAGGUAAUUAAUCUCUUGCUACGGUGUGGAAGAACUGGCUUCUGAAGUCAUGUUGCAGAGGGUUGUCUUUGUUAACUAUACAUUCAUUCGUUCAGCAAAUUCUUAUACUUUUCUGUGCAAGAACUGUGAGGAAAUAAAGAAAUGAUUGAAGCAUAAAGCCUGUCCUCAAAAGAGAUUACACCGUCUAUGUAAUGACACAGGUCAUAAGUGAGGUUAGAAAAACUCUGACGGUUUCUAGGGCAAAAGAGUACUUUCCGCUAAGGGGAAUGCUCUUGAUGUGACUCUUUGAGAGCUUGCAUCUGCAGAAUAUUUUUGCAGUCUAUUUGAUUGGGCUUUUUUUUCUUUUUCCUUAUUGUCUUUUCCCCCCGCACGGAUUAGCUGUUGCGAAUUUCAGUGGAAAAGAGGCAGCUAGAAUGGUUUAGCCUACAGAGGUGCUUUGACAUAUCGAGGCCCAGACAUUGUGUAGUAUAGAAAACGGCAUUUGGGACUUGCCUUCUAUGACACUUGAAUCGAAGAAAAUGCAGACCCGUACCACACCCAUCAGUAUAGCAUGCAGUUGCGGGUGAAGGGUCACAGAUUUGUUUAUCAAAAGCAAAAUUGUUAGAUACCUGCACUUUCCAUAAUGGAAAGCUGGUCACCGUAGAUAACAUUAUCAAGUACAAGAGUGGAUAGAUGCAAUAGAAAAUCACCUCAUGUCUCAUUAUGCGGCUUCAUCUCGACCCUAGAACUUUUCUCUCUCUCUCUCUCUCUCUCUCUCUCUCUCUCUCUCUCUUUUUCCGGCUCUCUCUCUCUAGAUAUAGAUGUAGAUAUAUGUCAGUGAGCCUCGAAAUAUCGUAAUCUUUCCCGAAUUAAUUGAGGGUAUGUGUAUAGUCGAUUUAAUUAUCCACUCAACAAAUAUUUAUUUUACGUCCAGAAAGUGUAAAAAUCUGCUGUCCGCCAAGAUGACCUAGGUGUUCAGAUCAUCUUGGAGGAGAGUUAUGAACAUAAAUAACCUGUGAACUUGGGCAACAUGUUUCUAACCUCUAAGCCUCCAUUUCCUUAUCUGUGAAAUGGGGUCAGAAUAGUACCAAUUUCCUGUGUUAUUUUGAGGACCAGAGUCUGGUACGUUGUAAGAAGGCAAUAAAUACAGCUCAAAUAUC